UUAAUCUCCACUCAUAUGGAAUCUAAGAUCCAAUCCAAGAUCAUUUUUGCUAUUGUACUUAUUCCAGCGUAUUAAAAACAUUAGCCGAAAUCCCUUCCCUUCCUACCUGUCCAUUUAAAAAAUCAUAUAUUCCUGAAUAUUUAGUUCCGAACUUGGAACUCCUUGAAUCCAUCUCUCCAUAUAAGAUCUUACCCAUUAACCUCUACUUUUUGCUGUCAAUUCAUUUAUUUCAUUCCAAACACUACAUGAAUUUAAGUAAAGAGCCAUUGAUUUUGUGUUUUUAUCAUUUUUUUCCUUUGGCACUAUUUGCAGAUUUUCUUAAUGCUUGUAUACUCUGUUCCUUCCUGUCCUACUGUGGGUAUCAUUAUCAAAACAGUUGCCCUUCAAUGCCAACAUAUCCUUUUGCUUUGUAAGCUCAUGUAACUGCCUUCCAAACCACACCUCAUCCAACUGGUUUAAAUUGCUCUCUUCAGCCUGAGUUAUUUGAUUUGCCAUCACAUUGGUCCCAGCACAGUUCAAAUGAAGUACAUUUGACCGGAACAGUUUCCUUCGACUCCAGUUCUACUUUUUAGUUCUACAGCAGCCCUGAGGAGAUGUCUCUAAUCCUGCUACCAGAUCACAGGCCAAGACUGAAUAACCUAAUCUGAGGUGCAUGGCUGCCUCCUGGAGCAAAGUGUCCAGGUCAUCACUUGGGUUUCUGUACACGAGAAGAUACAAAUGUGAUAGAAUCGCCUCCACUUGCCUGGAUGAUACCAACAACAUACAGAAAACUCGACACUCUUCAAGACAGAGCAACCCACUUGAUUCAGGACUGGAUCAACCACCUUCCAUUUUCAUUCUAGCAUUAGUGUAUAGUGGCAGAUGUAUUUAUCAUCUCCAAGAUGCACUGCGGCAACCCAUGAAUGCUCCUUUGCCAGCACCGCCAGCAGGUUCAGACGCAUACAAUUCUGAUUAUAUUUUGCUGCUUAAUCCUGGAACUCCCUCCCAAACAGCAAUGUGAGUGUAACUAUAUCACAUGAACCGCAAAGGUGAAACACAAGCAUCUUUUAAAGGACAAUUAAGGAUAGGCGAUACGUGUUGAUCUUGCCACGAAUAAACAAAUCUCAUGAACAAAUAAAAAAAUCUGAAUUUGGUCAGCAAAUGUACUAAUGACCUUGUCAUUGAUUAGCAUUACAACUAUAUUAAAUUGAAAUCAAAACAUAACUUUUUCAAUAUUUUUUUCUGCAGAAAUAUGUUAUUUUAUCAACCAGUCUGACAAUAUUCUAAAACUAUUUCAUUGAUUUUAGAAUAUCAUAUAGAAAUCAUAAUUAAUGUGUUAUCAUCAGGAGGAGCACUGCAUAGGAUUAUGGAAUCAACAGAUUCAAUCCAUCAGGUCUGUGCAAACCCUUUGUAAGAGAAAUUCAAUUUGUGACAUACAAAUAAUUUAAAUAUGGAAAUAAAAGUUUUAUA